AAGCUCGUAGUUGAAUUUCGGGGUUAGUAGGUUGGUCAUGCCUCUGGUAUGUACUGGUCUCACUGAUUCCUCCUUCCUUAUGAACCGUAAUGCCAUUAAUUUGGUGUUGCGGGGAAUUUGGACUGUUACUUUGAAAAAAUUAGAGUGUUUAAAGCAAGCUAACGCUUGAAUACAUUAGCAUGGAAUAAUGAAAUAGGACGUUCGAUCUUAUUUUGUUUGGUUUUCUUAGGAUUGACGUAAUGAUUAAUAGGGAUAGUGGG
rnacentral:rRNA from 1 species